AGCUCUUUGUAUUGAAUAAAGGGUGACACCUGCCCAAUGUCUUCGGAUUAAUGGCCGCAGUACUCUGACUGUGCAAAGGUAGCGUAAUCAGUUGGCUUUUAAUUGAAGUCUUGUAUGAAUGAGGAAACGGGAUAGAUCUGUCUCAAGAAAACUAUAUUGAAAUUGCUUAGAAGGUGAAAAUUCCUUCGUAUAAGAAAAAAGACGAGAAGACCCUAAGAGUUUUUACUAAAAAAAGUGUCAUACUUUUUAAGUUUUAGCUGGGGCGGCUAAGAAGCAAAUAUUUUAACCUUCUUAUAUUUACAUGCCAAGAUUUUUCGAAUGUGUAAACUACCUUAGGGAUAACAGCAUAAUCAAAUGUUUUUGGUUUGUGACCUCGAUGUUGGACUAGGAAUAUUUUUGACUAGCAGUUAAACGAUAGUGUUCUGUUCGAACUUUUUAAUCCU
rnacentral:rRNA from 1 species